GUGGGUGUAGCUCAAGGGUAGAGCGCCGGACUGUGGCUCCGGAUGUUGCGGGUUCGAAUCCCGUCAUCCACCCCA
rnacentral:tRNA from 1 species